rnacentral:rRNA from 1 species
UACGUAGGGUGCGAGCGUUGUCCGGAAUUAUUGGGCGUAAAGAGCUCGUAGGCGGCCGUUCGCGUCGGAUGUGAAAGCUCAGGGCUCAACUCUGAGACGCCAUUCGAUACGGGACGGCUAGAGGUAGGUAGGGGAAAGUGGAAUUCCUGGUGUAGCGGUGAAAUGCGCAGAUAUCAGGAGGAACACCGGUGGCGAAGGCGGCUUUCUGGGCCUUACCUGACGCUGAGGAGCGAAAGCUGGGGGAGCGAACGGG